AUUGAACGCUGGCGGCAGGCCUAACACAUGCAAGUCGAGCGGAUGACGGGAGCUUGCUCCUUGAUUCAGCGGCGGACGGGUGAGUAAUGCCUAGGAAUCUGCCUGGUAGUGGGGGACAACGUUUCGAAAGGAACGCUAAUACCGCAUACGUCCUACGGGAGAAAGCAGGGGACCUUCGGGCCUUGCGCUAUCAGAUGAGCCUAGGUCGGAUUAGCUAGUUGGUGGGGUAAUGGCUCACCAAGGCGACGAUCCGUAACUGGUCUGAGAGGAUGAUCAGUCACACUGGAACUGAGACACGGUCCAGACUCCUACGGGAGGCAGCAGUGGGGAAUAUUGGACAAUGGGCGAAAGUCUGAUCCAGCCAUGCCGCGUGUGUGAAGAAGGUCUUCGGAUUGUAAAGCACUUUAAGUUGGGAGGAAGGGCAGUAAGCUAAUACCUUGCUGUUUUGACGUUACCGACAGAAUAAGCACCGGCUAACUCUGUGCCAGCCGCCGCCGUAAAAC
rnacentral:rRNA from 1 species